AUGUAGCUCUACGGGUUACGCCUGUGAUGUUCAGGACUCAUUCUUGUAUUUUACACUCUCUGAUGUUUUCUUUUCUUCAUGUCUAGUGUGUGAAUCAUUUCUGGUUUGUCUCUUCAGUGUCUCAUGUGGCCCUGCAGCUUCUCCUCCUCCACCUCCUCCUGAAGCCUUCAUCUUCUUCAUCAUCAGCUGCUCAGUGACUCUGUUGGACGUCUCACCGUGUGGCAGCAGCUCAGGAGUUUGCAGUCAACCAAGGCCGACUCAGAAUCACUCCCACCGGGAAGAUCUGUGAAGGAAGGUCCACCCGGCUGGUCCAGAAGCUCCGGUCCAGCAGAGCAGCGUCAGGAUGGAGACGUAACCGGAUCCAUCUUUGAAGUCCAGUCCACUCCAGUCCAGUGACACUCCACACCACAGCGGGGAUUCGAACCGUGACCGUCCACAUGACAGACACACACCCUCUGUGUGAGCUAUCUGUCACACAAGGUCCUUGGUGGAGUUUGUUGUAAUCAUGGUUGCAAGAGGUUGUCAUGCAGCCAAAGUGUAAAAAGAGCCUUGAGCUGGAUUCCAACUAGGGACCUUCUGGAUGAAAGGCAGAUAACUUACCACUGCACUAUCCUUCCUACUGGGUGUAGCUGUUAGUUUUCGUAAAUGAUGGUACACAAAAGUAUUAAGGAAGUGAAGAUAAUAAAGGUACUAAGGUACCGGGGAGGCAAAAAACUUACCUCUACACCACCUGUCCUACAAGAUGUUGCUCUAACUUUGCUUAAAUGAUGCUAUCAAUUAUUACUGGCGCAACCAAACGACAAAUAAAAGGUGUGAGUGGAGAUCUGAAUCAUGUGAGGUUUGUUUCUGAGACUGAAUACACCUGAUCUCAUCUGAUCUGCAAAGCUAAGCAGGGUUGGGCCUGGUUAGUAUUUGGAUGGGAGACUACCUGGGAAUACCAGGUGCUGUAAGCUUUUUACUUCUCCUCACAACCUGAACAACACACUGCUAGCGACAGCUAUCAACUAAAACCUCUUGGUUUCUUUAUUAUACACUCUAUGAGGUGGAUAAGCUGCAGCUCAUGCUGAUUUAUUGCUGCUUCUGGUUGGAGCCAAAGAACAAAGGCUUCACCUGUUGGAGCAGCUGAUGUCCUGCAGCCUCUUCACCACAGAAAGCCUCUGACAGCUUCAAUUCUUUACACUCCGACUGCAAGACACCAAUCACAUAGGAACAUUUACAUGUAUGGAACAAAGAGCUGAGCUGACACUCAACAUAUGUUUGAGCAUUUAUUGAUAAAGACAUUCAGACAUGUCUAGAGAUAGAACACCAACGCACGGUGUAAGAAAGGUCAGAACAGACUUCACUUGCUCAGGAAACUGAGGUCCUUCGGGGUGCAGGGAGCAAUUCUGAGGACCUUUUAUGGUUGUGUGGUGGUAUCAGCCAUCCUGUAUGGACUGGUCUGCUGGAGCAGCAGCAUCACGGCUGCAGACAGGAAGAGACUAAAGAAACUGGUUAAGAAAGCAAGCUCUGUCCUGGGCUGGUGGUAGACAGGAGGAUGAUGACAAAGCUGUUGUCUAUCAUGGAGGACAUCUCCCACCCCCUGCAGGAAACAGGACCAUCACCGGCAGCUCCUUCAGGGACAGACUGCUUCACCCACGAUGUUUGAAGGAGGUCCUUCCUUCCUGCAGCAGUCAGACUGUGUUCAAUCAAGCCUGCUCCCAGUAGUUCAGAUCACCCAUGAAGUAACUGCAAUAAAAUGUAAAUAAGUCAAUAUGUGCAAUUUCACGGGGUUUUUUUUUUUUUACAAGCAUUUCUAUUUCUUCUCUAAGGAGAAAGCAUCUAUUUAUAUCUGUGCACUGAGUGCUGCUUUUUUUUUUUUUUUUUUAACUUUUUUUCCUAUCUGCUACUGCCACACUGAAAAUUUCCCCACUGCAGGAUCUACCUAUCCAUCCAUCUAUCUAUGGUCCAUCUACCUCCCUACCUAUCUAUCCAUCCAUCCAUCCAUCCAUCCAUCCAUUCAUCCAUCCAUCCAUCUAUCCAUCCAUCCAUCCAUCCAUCCAUCUCUCUCACAGAUGUGGGGGUUGAUUCACCUGUUCUCAAUCACCUUAAUCCACGAAGGCCCGGUUCUUCAUUCUUCCGCUCUCUGCCAGACCACAGACUUUGAAACCAGAACCUUUCUCCUACAAUUAGUCUGGUUUCCCCUUUUUGUUUUCACCUUGGUUUAGUUAUCCUUUCUGUGUUGGUUUUAGUUUCAUUCGUUAAAUAAACUCCUUGUAAUCUUUGA